UAUUGGCUGAGAAGGAAGUGUGCGUCAGCUUGUUGUCAUUGCGUGGAGAGGGAUAAAUCAUACUGGACAGAUUGUAAACUACAUCCUUGUGGAAGGAAAAGGAGCGGACAUACACAGGUCCUUCUCACUGUCACGAUGCGGGGCAUGCAGGAGAGUCUGUGGGUCCUACCUCUGAUACUACUGGGGCUGUUACAGCACUGGGCUGAAGGCGACUCAUUCAGCCAGGUGUGUGACCCAUCUAAAGAUGGCACCAUCUAUAACUACAAUGCUAUGACCCUGAAUGGGAGUCGUUCGGUCUCCCUCCGUGAGUACAUGGGGAAGACCGUCCUCUUCGUCAACGUAGCCUCUUACUGAGGACUCACCUUCCAGUACCUGGAGUUGAAUGCACUACACAAGGAGAUGAAGGAUUAUGGGUUCACCAUUCUCGGGUUCCCCUCCAAUCAGUUUGGAAAACAGGAGCCAGGAGACAAUCAUGAGAUUCUGGCCUCUCUAAAGCAUGUCCGACCAGGAAAUGGAUUCGUUCCAAACUUCCUGCUAUUCCAGAGGGGGGAUGUGAACGGAGACACAGAACAAGGAGUCUACACUUUCCUCAAAAACUCCUGCCCGCCGGUAGGGGACAGCUUUGAGAACCCCACCAACAGGCUGUUCUGGGAGCCCCUGAAGAUCAACGACAUCAAGUGGAACUUUGAGAAGUUCCUGGUCGGACCGGACGGAAAGCCCGUGAGGAGGUGGUUUCCCCGGGUCACAGUGUCUGAGGUUCGGAUGGACAUCAUCAAAUACUUCAAUCAACUCUUAUCCCAGUCCACCCAGCAGAACAUUGACUAAGGUUUUACUGUGCUGUGACCCAAAUGGCACAGUAUUCCCUAUGUAGUGCAUUACUGGGAAUUCAUUACAUAAGGAAUAGGGUGUCAUUUGCGACGCAGCCUGUGUUGUCAUCAGGGCUGGGGUCAAAUUCCAUUUCAGUUGAGUAAAUUCCUGAAUUGAAAUGGAAUUCAUUCCAUCCCCGAUAGGCUGGAUUUGAUUUUUAUAGAUUUAUUAGAGAUCACUCCUUUAGAUACAUGAAAUCACAGUGGAACGGUUUCCAGGUUCCAUCAGUUGAUGGUGGUACUGGGUAAGGGUUGUAGGUCAUAAAGGAGGUGGCAUGUUGUAUGAAGGUGAGGCUUGAAAACAGUGAUUCUGUGGUGCCAAGCCUGAGUUCUAGGGUCCAGGCCAGUCCUUCAGUGCAUUCAGGCUGGGCCUGGUAACCCUAGGAGCCAUGCUACCUCCUCGUCCUGCCACCCAGACCAGACGCCUAGUUACCCACUGCUUCUGCCUGACUAAUGUAUGUCAAUAAAUCACAUCAAUGCAA